GGGGAUGUAGCUCAGUUGGUAAAGUGUUUGUCUAGUGUACACAUAGGCCUGGGUUCUAUUCCUAGCAUUGCAA
rnacentral:tRNA from 1 species